UGGGCAACCUGCCCUCAGCUCUGGGAUAACCCCGGGAAACCGGGGCUAAUACCGGAUAUGACUGCCGACCGCAUGGUCUGGUGGUGGAAAGAUUUAUCGGCUGGGGAUGGGCCGCGGCCUAUCAGCUUGUUGGUGGGGUAGUGGCCUACCAAGGCGACGACGGGUAGCCGGCCUGAGAGGGUGACCGGCCACACUGGGACUGAGACACGGCCCAGACUCCGUACGGGAG
rnacentral:rRNA from 1 species